rnacentral:rRNA from 1 species
AUUGAACGCUGGCGGCAGGCUUAACACAUGCAAGUCGAGCGAGCGGCGGACGGGUGAGUAAUGUAUCGGAAACUGCCGGCUGAAGGGGGAUAACUACGAGAAACGUUAGCUAAUACCGCAUACCAUCAGAUAUGCCCAUAUGUGAUUAGCGGGUAGGUGGGGUAAAGGCUCACCUAGGCGACGAUCACUAGCUGGUCUGCGAGGAUGACCAGCCACACUGGAACGGAGCCACGGUCCAGACUCCUACGGGAGGCAGCAGUGGGGAAUAUUGCACAAUGGGCGCAAGCCUGAUGCAGCCAUGCCGCGUGUGUGAAGAAGGCCUUCGGGUUGUAAAGCACUUUUAUCAGGGAAGCGUUACUUGAAGAAUAAGCACCGGCGAACUCCGUGCCAGCAGCCGCGGUAAUUC